GGGUCCUCUUGGACACCCCAACCCCACAGUCUGUCUUCCAUCCCCACAUAUAUCCCAGUCACUCAUUCACACACUGAGCUAGUACUUCGGGGCUCCCACUGCCCACCAAACUUCUCCAUCCGUGAGCCCUGUGGCCGGGAAGUGGGGACCAGCUCCCAAUUUGGCUGGGCUGGGUGUGGGUGUUAAUCUUUUCCUGGCUUUUCUGUGCUGAGCUCACAAAGGCUUUUUGCUCCCGCGGGGUGGGAUGUGGUUUUUGGCCAAAGGUGACAUGGUUUGGAAGCUCUGUGGAUGCCAUGUGGUCUCUGGAAUGGGGUGUGCCCAUGAUGCCCCUUCCCCUCUAACAGCAGAGCUGAGGAAAGACAGGUCUGAGGAGCAGAGCAGGAGCUCUGGGAAGGAGAAGAGCAAUAUGAAGAUGGAGUUUAAGACGAGGCCAGGUGACUUCUGUGGAGGGAGACAUGCUGGACAACACCAAGAAUUGGGGAGACAACCAGAAGCAGAUCACUUCCAUGCGAGUGACAGCAAAUUCAGCACAUGCUACACGGAGAGGAAGGAUGGGCUUGUGGUUAAGGCACCAGGCAGGAACUCAAGGAGAUCUGGGUUCAAUUUCUGGUUCUGCUACAAAUUUCCUGAAUGACUCUGGGCAAGUCACAAUCUUUCUGUGCCUCUGUUCACUAUCUGUACAACAGCACUUCCUUUCUCUUGCCAAAUUAUAUUGUAAGCUUCUUUGGCCCUAUUUCAUACUAUGUGUACGUAUGGCACUUAAUACAAUGGGACCUUAUUUCGCCUGGGUCUGUGAAAGCAACAGGAAUUAUUAUUUACUUUAAAAAUAAGGAAACGGCAAACACAAAGUAGAAAGGAAAGUUGGGACAGGAAAAUGCAGCUGGAUCUCUCCCGAAUGUCUCUUGUGGUCUUAGCUUUUAGUCACAGUAAGAAGUCAAUUAUGUAGCAAUCAGCGGCUUUGGAGUCACAGGCAGCAUAUUCACCAAGCACAAUACCCACCCCAAAUCAUUUGUUGCUAGGUGGUAGGAGUGAAGGGGUAACUGAGAUCCAACAAGCAAGUACAAAUGGCUUGGCAAGAACUCUCCUCUCUGAACUUUUCAGUAUUGCACUUCAUUAAUCCUUUAUGCUCUUAACAAGCACCAUAAUGGGUAAUAGCCAUGAAGCCUGAAACCUAUUUGAUCAUCCCCUCUCAAAAAGGAUAAAGAAACAGAAAGAGGCCUAAAGAAGGGCAGUGGAAAUUAUCAGUGGUGUAGAAAGACUUCCAUGUAAGGUGAGGUUAGAAAGGUUAGGGCUGCUUAAUUUAGAGAAUUAAAGAAGGGACAUUAGAGAGAGAUAAAAUAACAAAAUAUAUUGAAAAGGUCCACCAGACUCUCCCUCCUUCUCCUGAUAUUAGAACAAGAGGAUAUUCAAUAAAGGCAACAGAUUUAAAACCA
rnacentral:lncRNA from 1 species